rnacentral:rRNA from 1 species
UACGAGGGAUGCAAGCGUUAUCCGGAAUUAUUGGGCGUAAAGCGUUUGUAGGCGGGCGAGUGUGUUUAAUGUUAAAUCUUAAAGCUCAACUUUGAAACUGCGUUAAAAACUGCUUGUCUUGAGUAUGGUAGGGGUAAAGGGAAUUCCCAGUGUAGCGGUGAAAUGCGUAGAUAUUGGGAAGAACACUAAACAGCGAAGGCACUUUACUAGGCUAAUACUGACGCUGAGAAACGAAAGGUAAGGUAGCGAAACGGAUUAGAUACCCGUGUAGUCUUACCCGUAAACUAUGGACACUAAACGGUAAAUUUUUAAUUUACUGUUAAAGCUAACGCGUUAAGUGUCCCGCCUGGGGAGUAUGCUUGCAAAAGUGAAACUCAAAGGAAUUGACGGGGGCCCGCACAAGCGGUGGAGCAUGUGGUUUAAUUCGACGGUACACGAAGAACCUUACCAGGAUUUGACAUGCUAGAUAGUUGCUUGAAAGAGUAACGUGCCGUAAGGAAUCUAGACACAGGUGGUGCAUGGCUGUCGUCAGUUCGUGUUGUGAAAUGUUGGGUUAAGUCCCGCAACGAACGCAACCCUUGUCUUUAGUUAUUUUCUAAAGAGACUGCCUGUAAUAAACAGGAGGAAGGUAAGGAUGAGGUCAAGUCAUCAUGCCCCUUAUGUCCUGGGCUACACACGUGCUACAAUGGGAAAGACAAUGAGCUGCAAAUCUGUAAAUUUAAGCAAAUCUCUUAAACUUUCUCGUAGUUCGGAUUGUGGGCUGCAACUCGCCCACAUGAAGUUGGAAUCGCUAGUAAUCGCCAGUCAGCUAUAUGGCGGUGAAUCCGUUCCCGGGCCU